GGCCCCCCUGUCUUAAGAGGACUCUCCAUGAAAUUGAAUUCGUAGUGAAGAUGCUACGUCCAUAUUGUAAGACGAAAAGUCCCCAUUGAGCUUUACUAAAGACUUAUAUGGCUCGAAUAACUUAAAUAAAAAGUUUAGAUAAUGUGGGAUCUGUUUUUGGUUAAUGAGACACCACUCUUUUAUUUUAAGAGAACUAACCUUAUAGGGAGAAUGUAAGUUAGAUAGUUUGGUUGGGGCGACCACCUUUUAAAAGGUAACGAAGGUGAGCUUAAGGUCCGUAGUUAAUAGCUAGAGGCCUGACUGCAAGGGGGACAUCCCGAGCAGACACAUCCUUAAGGAUGUGGGUUAUAGUGACCCGUCAUCUUAGAGU
rnacentral:rRNA from 1 species